GAAGGGCUAUUCCUAAAGUAUACAAAGAUAAGAGGGGAAAUAUAACCCUUGGAGUUCCUUUUCUUGGAGUCAUAUAGAGAUGACUCAAGAUGCUCCUUUCCUUUGGAAUUAGAACAUAAAUAAGCAAUCAAUAAUUUGAAUUCAAGCUCCUAGGAUCUCCAUUUGGCUUGGCUCUUAACUUGGCUACUCAUGACAAUGAUCCUCUUUUCACAAUCUUAAAAUGAGG
rnacentral:lncRNA from 1 species